GGAGUCGGCCGGAUGGUCGCUGCUUUUCAAUAAAGCGGAGGAAAGUCCGGGCUCCGAUGGGCAGGGUGCCAGGUAACGCCUGGGAGGCGCGAGCCUACGGAAAGUGCCACAGAAAAUAUACCGCCACCGGUCUACGGGCUGGCUGGUAAGGGUGAAAUGGUGCGGUAAGAGCGCACCGCGCGACUGGCAACAGUCGUGGCAGGGUAAACCCCACCCGGAGCAAGACCAAAUAGGGGGGCAGGCAGCCUCGGUUGCCACGUGUGGCCCGCACGGUCCCCGGGUAGGUCGCUUGAGGUGCGCGGUGACGCGCAUCCCAGAUGAAUGGCCAUUCAAGACAGAACCCGGCUUACAGGCCGACUCCCCAU
rnacentral:RNase_P_RNA from 1 species